GAAAGAUUCAUCGGAAGAGGAUGGGCAUGCGGCGCAUUAGCUAGACGGCGGGGUAACGGCCCACCGUGGCGACGAUGCGUAGGGGUUCUGAGAGGAAGGUCCCCCACACUGGUACUGAGACACGGACCAGACUCCUACGGGAGGCAGCAGUGAGGAAUAUUGGUCAAUGGGAGAGAUCCUGAACCAGCCAAGCCGCGUGAGGGAAGACGGCCCUAUGGGUUGUAAACCUCUUUUGUCGGAGAACAAAACCCGGGACGUGUCCCGGACUGCGUGUAUCCGAAGAAAAAGCAUCGGCUAACUCCGUGCCAGCAGCCGCGGUAAUACGGAGGAUGCGAGCGUUAUCCGGAUUUAUUGGGUUUAAAGGGUGCGUAGGCGGUCCGUUAAGUCAGCGGUAAAAUUGCGGGGCUCAACCCCGUCGAGCCGUUGAAACUGGCAGACUUGAGUUGGCGAGAAGUACGCGGAAUGCGCGGUGUAGCGGUGAAAUGCAUAGAUAUCGCGCAGAACUCCGAUUGCGAAGGCAGCGUACCGGCGCCAGACUGACGCUGAGGCACGAAAGCGUGGGGAUCGAACAGGAUUAGAUACCCUGGUAGUCCACGCAGUAAACGAU
rnacentral:rRNA from 1 species